AUGGAAAGAAUGGCUCACUCUUACUUUAAGGAGAUUUUCACCAAAGAUCCAACCCUCUCUCUGGACGCGGUGUUGGACUGUAUUGCCCCAAAAGUAACAAAGGAGAUGAAUGCUUCUUUAUGCAGGCCCUACUCAGACGAGGAGAUAUCUAAUGCCUUAUUUUUGAUUGGGCCACUAAAAGCAUCGGGAUGUGAUGGACUACCUGCUAGGUUCUUUCAACGGAAUUGGGCACUGCUGAAAACUGAGAUUGUAGCGGCGGUCCACGAGUUCUUUGCUUCUGGUGUUAUGCCUGAUGGAGUUAAUAACACGGCCAUUGUGCUAAUUCCUAAGGUCCCUCAUCCGAACGAUCUGAAGGAUUUUAGGCCGAUAAGCUUGUGCAAUGUUAUAUACAAGAUAAUCUCUAAGUGUAUGGUAAACAGACUACGACCCAUCCUGUCUGAUCUCAUAUCUGAAAAUCAGAGCGCCUUCAUCCCGGGGAGGCUGAUUUCGGACAACUCUAUUAUUGCGUUUGAAUGUAUUCACCAUAUUCGGUCGGUAAGAAACAAUGCAACCGGUCUCUGUGCUUACAAGCUAGAUCUUUCUAAGGCCUAUGACAGGGUGGACUGGGUUUUUUUUUUGGAAAAAGCAUUGGCUAAAUGGGGCUUCUCGCCCAUCUGGAUUGCUCGUGUUAUGGCUUGUGUCUCGUCGGUGAAGUACUCGAUAAAAUUUAAUGGGAAGCUACUGGAGUCUUUCUCCCCCUCGAGGGAACUCCGUCAAGGUGAUCCACUGUCUCCAUUCUUCUUCUUAUUUGUAGUUGAUGCUCUUUCUGUGUUGAUUGAAAAGGCUGCAAGGGAAGAUGGUCUCAGUGGGGUCAGAAUAUGUAGAGGUGCUUCGGAGAUUAUACACCUUUUGUUUGCGGAUGAUUCACUUCUAUUUUUUCAAGAAAAUAAUCAGCAGGCAUUAUUAGUGAAAGGGGUGUUGAACACCUUUGCGACCGCGACAGGACAACUUAUUAACCCGUCGAAGUGUUGCAUUCUAUUCUCAAAUCAAUGUCAACCUGAUGUGGUUCAAGAGGUUAAAGACACGCUGAAUAUCACCCAGGAGGCGUUUGAGCCUAAGUAUUUGGGCUUGCCGGUUCCAGAGGGGAGGAUGCACAAAGGGCACUUUGAGACUAUCCAAGAGCGUUUGAGGAAAAUUCUUAUGGAUUGGAGUGAGCAGUACAUGUCAUCAGGGAAUAAGGAGAUACUAAUCAAAUCAGUGGCACAGGCCAUAGCAGCAUAUGUUAUGAGUGUUUUCAAACUCCCGGAUUCGGUCUGUGAUGAUCUAACAAGGAUGAUACGUCAAUAUUGGUGGGGGUGGAGAACGGGAAGAAGAAGAUGGUCUGGAUGA
rnacentral:rRNA from 1 species